GGAGGGGUUCCCGAGCGGUCAAAGGGAUCAGACUGUAAAUCUGACGGCACUGUCCUUCGAAGGUUCGAAUCCUUCCCCCUCCACCA
rnacentral:tRNA from 1 species